GAGUAGCUGGGAUUGCAGGCAUUCAUCACCACACCCAGCACCAGGCCCAGAGGCCUACCUGCAGAACCAGGAGCCUUCCCAGAGAUGCCUGUUGAUGGAUGGCUACACUGAGAACCUGAAAUAGCGUGCAAAUAACUCUCUUCUCUGUACUUGAAGCCAAAUCGCAUUCCCAGGCAGACAUAUCCAGCGGGGAAAGAAGAAACAAGAAAAUGAAUGAUCCACUUGCACAAGAAUCUCUCCUAUGAGCAAGUGUUAGAAAUCCAUUGCUUGCUAAUGUUUGUUUGUUUGUUUUUGGAGCUGGUGUCUGGAGCUGGUUCUCCACCUGUUGUGAGUUCCUGGAAAGAUCUCAAGACCUAUCCCAUUUUCCUCCUAGUGAAGGUUGAUAUUCAUAAUAGUUGACACUCAGUACAGCACAGACACCGACCAAUUCAAACUGACAGAGGUCUUAAGCAAUUUUCAUGACAAUAUUGGUGUAUAGAGCUGAAUAUUUGUUCUACACAUAGAAGGCAUCCAAUAAAAAAUUUUGAAUUGAAUUUUAUUGGUUUAGUAGUCCUGGCUGUGGUAUCUAAUGGCCUUCUUUCAGAAGUCAGGCAGCUUUUAAUUUUUUUGUCCAAAUAUGAUCAUAAUGAUUUCUUUUCCUCCUUGAUUUAGAUUCUGCAGGAGUCUGUGAGUAAU
rnacentral:lncRNA from 1 species